rnacentral:rRNA from 1 species
UGCGGAGGGUGCGAGCGUUGUCCGGAAUCAUUGGGCGUAAAGGGCGCGUAGGUGGCCCGGUCAGUCUUUGGUGAAAGCGCGGGGCUCAACCCUGCGUCGGCCAGGGAUACUGCCGCGGCUCGAGCACUGUAGAGGCAGGCGGAAUUCCGGGUGUAGCGGUGGAAUGCGCAGAUAUCAGGAGGAACACCGGUGGCGAAGGCGGGACUCUGGGCCGAUACUGACGCUGAGGAGCGAAAGCGUGGGGAGCAAACAGG